UACAGAGGGGGCAAGCGUUGUUCGGAAUUACUGGGCGUAAAGGGCGCGUAGGCGGCCUGCUAAGUCGAACGUGAAAUCCCCGGGCUCAACCCGGGAACUGCGUCCGAUACUGGUGGGCUUGAAUCCGGGAGAGGGAUGUGGAAUUCCUGGUGUAGCGGUGAAAUGCGCAGAUAUCAGGAGGAACACCUAUUGCGAAGGCAGCUCGCUGGGACGUAACUGACGCUGAGACGCGAAAGCGUGGGGAGCAAACAGG
rnacentral:rRNA from 1 species